CUUCCUUCUAUUUUUUCUAAAUUACAAAAAAAAAAAAAUUAAAAGGCAAAUGUAAAGAUAUGCACUCGGUUUCUAUAAUUCCUCCCUUUUACUUUUUCUAAAUUUAAAACAAAUGAAAACCAAAUUGUAGGACUUGCAUUCCUGCUGCAGUUUGCCCAGAUCGUGAAUUUCUCCCUCAAAGAAAAGAAAUCCUCACUUUAAUUACCUCCUUCCAUCUUCUUCGUACUCUCGUUGUUCUUCUCGCUCACCGCUUCUUCUGCCGCUUCUUUGCACUUAAUGCACCACUGCCUACGCCGCCUCCAUCAACCAUCGUACCUCUGCAAUUCGGUGUUUGUUCUGUGGGAAUAGACUGAGAGCAGUGAGAAUAUUUUGUUCAAGUGAUCCUACAGCAGCAUGUGUUGCACGAAUUACACACAUGCGCAUUCGAACAACUGAUGCUUGUUUCUGCUGCCCCUGCAAGCCUCACAUGCACAUACCAAUUAAGCUUCUUGCAAGUCACAGUAGCUUGCACACACGUUGGCAUGCCUCUGUCAGUCUUGCACACAUACCACACACCCUCAUUCACUCAAAAAAUACACCAUUAUCAUUACUAAUGCAAGGGAUUAAAGAGAGUCAAUUAAGAAAACAAACUUUGGUAACUCAUAGAAAUAUGAAAAAGGUCAAAGUCUUUUAAAUGAAGAUAGUCAAUGCAGCCUAAGUUUUGCCAUAUGCCCACAAGUUGAUUUUCUAUCAAACACAUGGAAUAAAUUUAAAGCUAAAGAAGAGAAAAAACUUUAGAGAUGGUGCACAACUAAAAAGAAGCUGAACAAAUUAAACAAACUUGAAAAACAUCCUAAGAGACACUAUAAUCACUUGAAUAAUAUAACUGAAUGUGGGCAUAACCAGCCUGAAAAAAUGAACCUACUAGGAUUAAUGCUUUGUACUUAAACUAAAAUCUAAACUCAAAGGUUCUACACAUAUUAUGCAUCCAACAACUGAACUAGUGUGUAUAGUCUAUAGCAAUCUACACACUUAUCCAUAACAAGAAUUUGAGAGAAGAGAAAACUGGAAGACUUUUAGGGGUUUUCAAUCUGGCCUAGGUUUUGGAGAAUUGGGUGCAAUUAGGAGCAUUUUUUUGAUAAAUUUGAGCAUUAACGACGAAUUUUCUUUUGAGAAAAUACGGAUCAUUUUUUUUAUUUUAAACUAUUAGAUGAUUCGCGCUCUCUUUGAACAACUUUGUGUUUUAAUGAUAACUUUAUUUGGUUGGUUGUUAUUCAUUUUUUGUUGUAAGUGUAAUUUCUAGUAGUGUCUCUCAGCCAUCUAGAACUGUUAUAUGUACUGUAUAUGGAAAGAAAGUACUAACAAGCAUAUUCAAUGCCCUGGUCAUGACUCGUGUAUGUGCGUGUCCAUGUUAAGGUGCUUUGUCCUCUCAUUACAGUCAAGAUUAUGGGUAAUAUAUAUGUUGAUUUGUUGUCACAAAAUAGGGGAAUAGGCUUAGGAAUUGUGAAUUUCAGAUCUUCCAAUUUCCAAAUGCCAUCAACCCAAACUAACUCACUCAUUUGGGACAUACUUCUGUAUUUUGAUUCUAUGCUGGACUUUGAUGACAUAUAUACAUAACUUAAUGAAGAAAUACAAAUUCAUCCUAUAGAUCUUCGAAACCUCAGGCAAAAUGAGGUUUUGACAUCUCUAUCCAAAAAAGAAAAGAUUAUUAGGUAGCAAAAACAUGAAGCUGCUUGUGCGCUGUGAAAUCUUCUUGAAGCUUAUGGCUAUUAGCUAUUUAGUGACUGGUCUGUUGUUGUUGGCUCUAUGCUGAUGUUGGUUUGAUCUGAUGGGUGUGGUAGGGUUGUUCUACUUUGCGCUGUGUUUUGUUGGCUGGGGUCCUAGGUUUAUAGAGCUGCUCCUGCAGCAAUAGCUCUUUUAGGUUUUCGUCAAGUACUACACUACUAAAAUUGUUAGCUGUUGUGGUCCCAUUUAAUGCUUGAUUAUUACCAUAUUCCAUAAGUUGCAGCGAGAACUCAAAGUAGAAGCAAAUGAAAAAAGAGCACAAGCCUUCAAAACGAAUGAUUAUAUCGCUGCAAUAUACUAGUAUUCAAAGGCUAUUAAGACAAAGCCUACGGAUGCUACAGUGUUCUCCAACAGGAGCCUCUGCUGGGCGCGCUUAAAAUAUGGCAAUCUUGCACUCACAGAUACAGAUUACUGCAUUAAACGGAGACCAGAUUUGGUUAAGGGAUAUUACCAGUUCGGAAUAGCUUGAAGGAUGCUACAUGUCCAUAUGUUUUUGUUUACCAUUGAUUUAAUUCCCUUCUAGCUAGAUAGUAUCUGUCUUCUCAUAUUCUAGCUGUAUAAUUGUGAACGACCAUAAUUAACUGUCAGGUUCAUGAUGAUAAAACUUGUGACUCCAAACUGGAACUCUAGAAGAAUUAACUGUCAGAUUCAUGUUGAUUAAACUUUUUUUUUUAACAAACUCAUUGUUCACUUUGCUGAUCUAUUUCCUCUCGAUACUUAUUGAACAUGUAACAUUCACAAGCAUUAUGAAAAUUCAGAGAGUCAUAGAUUAAGAAGGGACUGAAUUACCAUAAUUAUUAUUGUUUCUUUUACAGCCAGUAUUGGUUGAUGGAUGACAAUUUUCUCAAGUGAAGGUGUAUGUCUUUGUGACAAGAGUGGUGUUGGAUGAAGAUUAAGUGGAUGUUUUUGAACGCUAUAGAGUCGUGUUCAAAGGUUAGUUUCACAACACAACUUUAAAAUGGUUUUUGGAACUAAUAAGUUGCAUGUUAUAGAACUUACAUUCCUUUUUCUUUUGAUGGCGGAGGCUGCUCCUUUCAUGCGCCUUUGGAUAUUCUCUAACUCACUAGUACUUUAUUAUCUUUAGGCUUGGUUAGUUCCAUGUUCCCAGACAAUCAAUGCUAGUGCUGGGUUGCUAACCAUUUGAACUGAUAUGAAAAUUGAGGUCCCUAGCUCAUGCCUUUUUUUUGGAAACUCUAGUUUUAUAGUAUUAAUUUAACAUGACGGGGGCAAUAAUUCUUCUGAUGCCUGUUAGAACUUGUAGUAGAUUAGAAUUUAGAAUUUGCGGUAGCAGAUUAGAACAUUAGAACAUGCAGUAGCAGAUUCGAUUACUGAACAUCAGAAGUGAUUUGUGUAUCUUUGUGGCGGCACCAGCUUUUGAUUAGUGAUUUUGUAUUUUUCUGUGACUUGUCCUUCGUCGAUUGCAAUUUCUCUUGCACACAAAUAUUACACCAAUGACAUUGCUAUUACCUCAACUAUUAUCAAUAUCUGUCCUAGAACUACACCAAUGAACACUAUACUAAUGUGAAUUUUCCGAAGUUUUGUAGUAUUACAGUGGAGUACCUAUUACUUAUUCUCUAGCGAAGAUUGACGAGUUACCUAUAUGUCCGAGUAUAAAGAACUAGAUGAAGAGUUUGAAAAUGGUAUGGAUUAUGAAGAUGAUGAUAUGGCGUAGGUGAUUUAUGACUUCAUUCUAAUUUUAGAAUUUUGUAUUUCUUUACGGAGAAGAUUAUAGGACCUUAAGACAUUUACAUUUUUUGUAAUAUGUUUUUGAGAUUAAUGAAUUUUUUUGAUUAUUUUGAUA